rnacentral:misc_RNA from 1 species
GUGUUUCUUAUAGCUAUUUUUCAUCAUUGCUUCAAGAGAAAUGAAUGAGCAUUUUUGUUACACAAAGGUUCAAACUUAAAAGCAAUGGUGUCGCUUUGCAGUUCUGAUUUGGCAAGCUUUUUCACAUGCACUUGUGUUAGUCAAGUUCGUUAAAUUGGGGCUGAUGAAUGGCGGACUCCUCAGGGCCCUCUCAAAUGCAAUUGGUUACAUCAUUUGUGUUAGGAAAACGGUCACUUUCUUCUAUGAAAAUUGCUUCCACUCCUUUUCAUACACCAUAAAAAUGCUUCACUUAAUUUAUUAGUAGUUCAUGUGAUUUGGUGGGUUGGUGGUCAAGUUUUGAAUUGUCAAACAUCAACUUAGAAUAUGG